CACGCAUCGCGUCGCCACCCACCAUCGUCGUGAUGGGUGGCGGAUGUUGGCCUCCCGUGCUGCAAGGCGCGGCCGGCCUAAAUGCGAGUCCUCGGCGAGAGACGUCACGACUAGUGGUGGUUGAAUGCCUCAACUCGAGUCCUGUCGUGCCGAUGCCCCUCGCCGUCGUCGGGCUCCCUCGACCCCGUAGCGUGCUCACAAGGGCGCGCMUCGACCGCGACCCCAGGU
rnacentral:rRNA from 1 species